CCCUUAGAUGUCCUGGGCCGCACGCGCGCUACGCUGACAUGUUCAACAAGCCUCCUAGUUCGACAGGAUUUGGGAAAUCUUUGAACGCAUGUCGUGAUAGGGAUAGAUCAUUGCAAUUAUUGAUCUUGAACGAGGAAUUCCUAGUAAACGCGAGUCAUCAGCUCGCAUUGAUUACGCCCCUGCCCUUUGUACACACCGCCCGUCGCACCUACCGAUUGAAUGUUUCGGUGAAGAUUCCGGAUAGGACUUUUUUGAUUUAUUUCAAUUUUGUCUUAAAAGCUAUCUAAACCUCAACAUUUAGAGGAAGGUGAAGUCGUAACA
rnacentral:rRNA from 1 species